GACCGCUCUGGUGGCCUAGUGGUUAGAACGUCCACCUCGGAUAUGGGAGGUUGUGGGUUCGAUUCCCAGUCAAGUCU